ensembl:snRNA U4 U4 spliceosomal RNA
AGCUUUUCGCAGUGGCAGUAUCAUGGCCAAUGAGGUUUAUCCGAGGCCCGAUUAUUGCUAAUUGAAAACAUAUGAAGAAACUGAGGCUUAAAAAGGAAUUUAAGAAAUUUGCCUCAGGUUA